CAAUAAGCGGAGGAAAAGAAACCAACAGGGGAUUGCUCUAGUAACGGCGAGUGAAGCAGCAAUAGCUCAAAUUUGAAAUCUGGCGUCUUCGACGUCCGAGUUGUAAUUUGUAGAGGAUGCUUCUGAGUAACCACCGACCUAAGUUCCUUGGAACAGGACGUCAUAGAGGGUGAGAAUCCCGUAUGCGGUCGGAAAGGUGCUCUAUACGUAGCUCCUUCGACGAGUCGAGUUGUUUGGGAAUGCAGCUCUAAAUGGGAGGUAAAUUUCUUCUAAAGCUAAAUAUUGGCCAGAGACCGAUAGCGCACAAGUAGAGUGAUCGAAAGAUGAAAAGCACUUUGGAAAGAGAGUUAAAAAGCACGUGAAAUUGUUAAAAGGGGAAGGGAUUGCCACCAGACUUGCUCGCGGUGUUCCGCCGGUCUUCUGACCGGUCUACUCCCCGCGUUGCAGGCAGCAUCGUCUGGUGCCGCUGGAUAAGACUUGAGGAAUGUAGCUCCCUCGGGAGUGUUAUAGCCUCUUGUGAUGCAGCGAGCGCNGGGCGAGGUCCGCGCCUCCGCUAGGAUGCUGGCGUAUUUGUCGUUAUUCGCCCGUUUUGA
rnacentral:rRNA from 1 species